rnacentral:sRNA from 1 species
ACCUAAACCCGAUCGCAGUGGUUCCGAUGCUUUUUCGAUAUUUGUUUUCAAAACUAAAUCAGCAUCGGAAGGAACGGAGAGCGGGGCUGCAC